GUGGGGAAUAUUGGACAAUGGGCGCAAGCCUGAUCCAGCAAUGCCGCGUGUGUGAAGAAGGUCUUCGGAUCGUAAAGCACUUUCGACGGGGACGAUGAUGACGGUACCCGUAGAAGAAGCCCCGGCUAACUUCGUGCCAGCAGCCGCGGUAAUACGAAGGGGGCUAGCGUUGCUCGGAAUUACUGGGCGUAAAGGGCGCGUAGGCGGCUCUGUGAGUCAGGCGUGAAAUUCCUGGGCUUAACCUGGGGACUGCGCUUGAUACUGCAGGGCUUGAGGCCGAGAGAGGGUGGUGGAAUUCCCAGUGUAGAGGUGAAAUUCGUAGAUAUUGGGAAGAACACCGGUGGCGAAGGCGACCACCUGGCUCGGUACUGACGCUGAGGCGCGACAGCGUGGGGAGCAAACAGGAUUAGAUACCCUGGUAGUCC
rnacentral:rRNA from 1 species